GGGAGCUUGCUCCUGAAUUCAGCGGCGGACGGGUGAGUAAUGCCUAGGAAUCUGCCUGGUAGUGGGGGACAACGUUUCGAAAGGAACGCUAAUACCGCAUACGUCCUACGGGAGAAAGCAGGGGACCUUCGGGCCUUGCGCUAUCAGAUGAGCCUAGGUCGGAUUAGCUAGUUGGUGAGGUAAUGGCUCACCAAGGCGACGAUCCGUAACUGGUCUGAGAGGAUGAUCAGUCACACUGGAACUGAGACACGGUCCAGACUCCUACGGGAGGCAGCAGUGGGGAAUAUUGGACAAUGGGCGAAAGCCUGAUCCAGCCAUGCCGCGUGUGUGAAGAAGGUCUUCGGAUUGUAAAGCACUUUAAGUUGGGAGGAAGGGUUGUAGAUUAAUACUCUGCAAUUUUGACGUUACCGACAGAAUAAGCACCGGCUAACUCUGUGCCAGCAGCCGCGGUAAUACAGAGGGUGCAAGCGUUAAUCGGAAUUACUGGGCGUAAAGCGCGCGUAGGUGGUUCGUUAAGUUGGAUGUGAAAUCCCCGGGCUCAACCUGGGAACUGCAUCCAAAACUGGCGAGCUAGAGUA
rnacentral:rRNA from 1 species